rnacentral:rRNA from 1 species
UACGGAGGGGGCUAGCGUUGUUCGGAAUUACUGGGCGUAAAGCGCACGUAGGCGGACAUUUAAGUCAGGGGUGAAAUCCCGGGGCUCAACCCCGGAACUGCCUUUGAUACUGGGUGUCUGGAGGUCGAGAGGGGUGAGUGGAAUUCCGAGUGUAGAGGUGAAAUUCGUAGAUAUUCGGAGGAACACCAGUGGCGAAGGCGGCUCACUGGCUCGAUACUGACGCUGAGGUGCGAAAGCGUGGGGAGCAAACAGG